rnacentral:rRNA from 1 species
GACAGAGGGUGCAAACGUUGCUCGGAAUCACUGGGCGUAAAGGGCGCGUAGGCGGGAAUGUAAGUCGGGCGUGAAAUCCCCAGGCUCAACCUGGGAACUGCACUCGAAACUGCGUUUCUUGAGUAUCGGAGAGGAAAGCGGAAUUCCUGGUGUAGAGGUGAAAUUCGUAGAUAUCAGGAGGAACACCAGUGGCGAAGGCGGCUUUCUGGACGGUAACUGACGCUGAGGAGCGAAAGCGUGGGGAGCGAACAGG